rnacentral:rRNA from 1 species
UACGGGUAGGGGGACAAGGUCGUUACGUACCGGAAUCACGUGGGACGGUAAAGGGGUGCGGUAGGGCGGUCUUAGACAACGCCGAGGGGUGAAAAGGCAUUGGCUCAACCAAUGUAAGCCUUUGGAACUGUUAAGCUUGAGUGCAGGAGAGGUAAGUGGAAUUCCUAGUGUAGAGGUGAAAUUCGUAGAUAUUAGGAGGAACACCAGUGGCGAAGGCGACUUACUGGACUGUAACUGACGCUGAUGCACGAAAGCGUGGGUAGCGAACAGGAUUAGAUACCCUGGUAG